rnacentral:rRNA from 1 species
CAGCCGCCGCGGGAAUACGAGGGGGGCAAGCGUUGUUCGGAUUUAUUGGGCGUAAAGCGAGCGCAGGCGGUUAGAUAAGUCUGAAGUUAAAGGCUGUGGCUUAACCAUAGUACGCUUUGGAAACUGUUUAACUUGAGUGCAGAAGGGGAGAGUGGAAUUCCAUGUGUAGCGGUGAAAUGCGUAGAUAUAUGGAGGAACACCGGUGGCGAAAGCGGCUCUCUGGUCUGUAACUGACGCUGAGGCUCGAAAGCGUGGGGAGCAAACAGGAUUAGAUACCCGCGUAGUCCCUGUCUCUUAUACA